UGUACUGAGGUAGGGCUACAGUCCAAAGUCAAGCCUGACUUCUGCACUUGAGAUGGAGGUUAGCAUGAAAGAGUUGUCUAAAAGAACUACCCUCCAAGUGGCUGGAGUGGAAGCCUGAGAAGUAUUAACUAGACAGGAAAAGAAGAGGAAGACAUCAAGGACUAAUGUCACUGAUGCUUUCAGAAGAAUGAGUCUGCUGGCAGGUACUUCCACGGCAGACAAUGGAUAUGUGUUUUGGUUCCCAUGAAGUUCAUGAAAUGAAGGAUGGAAGACAUAGGAAAAGUACUUCUGUUGGGGCUUAAAUUGUCAAAAAGAUCUGUUUAGUUUUAACCCCCAAACCCUGUGAAUAUGAAUUUAACUGGAAAUAGGGUCUUUGCAGAGGCUCCUUAGUUAAUGUGAGGCCAUUAGAAUAGACCCUAUUCCAACUGGAGUGAUGUCAUCAUAAAAGAAAAAGCUAUGUAUGAGAGGGAG